CUAGGAAUAUUGGGCAAUGGGCGCAAGCCUGACCCAGCAACACCGCGUGGAGGACGAAGGCCUUCGGGUUGUAAACUCCUUUUCUGGGGGAUGAGCAAGGACAGUACCCCAGGAAUAAGGCCCGGCUAACUACGUGCCAGCAGCCGCGGUAAUACGUAGGGGCCAAGCGUUAUCCGGAUUUACUGGGCGUAAAGCGCAUGUAGGCGGUCUUCUAAGUCGGAUGUGAAAGCUCCUGGCUUAACUAGGAGAGGCCAUUCGAAACUAGUCGACUAGAGGGUGGUAGAGGAGAGCGGAAUUCCAGGUGUAGCGGUGAAAUGCGUAGAUAUCUGGAGGAACACCAGUGGCGAAAGCGGCUCUCUGGACCAUUCCUAACGCUGAGAUGCGAAAGCCAGGGGAGAGAACGGG
rnacentral:rRNA from 1 species